UAAAAAUAGAAGGRGUUAGGARGGGUAAGUCCAGGAAAAUAAUGGUGGAAUUGUACACAAGCUGUUUGAUUCAGCCUCUGGCUGUGGAAGUAGGGUUAGUGUUUGAUUACAGCCUUAAUCCAAAGRCUAUAAUGGAGCAUUGUGGCAUUGAGCCCCUGGGUUAGGGGCUGUACAGCCCCAUCAGACUGCCACCACUAGUAAACCUGAGGGAUACUUGCUGUAUGAAAGCAGAACUGUGACUUCAGUCGCCGAAGGCACUGUCACGCACAAGACAUCAUCAACGGUCGGAAGUCUGUAAAGUUCAUCAGGGUGCAUUCUGGGUAAAGCUCGUCACCAGCCGACUAAGUUAACGUGAGUGGAGCUCCAUGAAGUGGCAAAGUGAAAAGGAUGGAAAAGAGACCAAAGAAAAGCCAAAGACGCAUAUUUUGUUCCUCGUCUUGGAGAUGAACCGGACCGAAUCAGCAAAGGAGCCGGACUAGUUACAGGUUAUUCCUGGUGAUGCUGUGGACCCACUGGUUGCCAGAGCUCCACUGACACCUCCUCAGUAAACCAAACCUCUUUGGAUUACCCUGUUGUCAGUCUCACUUAGCGAUGGGUAGAUGAGGCGUCAUGAAGCGUUUCGACCCAUAGAAAAACUGUGUCGAUUCUGUGACGAUACUGUGUCACUGAAUACUGACACCUGCUGGACAUUAAAAAUUCCUACAGGCAACGCAGUGAUUUGAUGACCUACUAAUUUGUAUGUUACUGUGUAUUAUGUCGUUACUGUGUAUUAUGUCAUAUCUUCAGUUAAAUUUAAAAUAUAUUUGAAAUUCUUAGAUACAGUCAAUA